rnacentral:rRNA from 1 species
CAUGGAUAACCGUGGUAAUUCUACAGCUAAUACAUGAGCAAAAUCUCAACUUUAUUAGAAGAGACGCAUUUAUUAGAUAAAAAGCCAAUGCAUGCUUUUACAGUAUGAAAAUUGGUGAUUUAUAAUAACUUAGCAAAUCGCAAAGUGAAAACAGGCGAUAAAUCAUUCAAGUUUCUGACCUAUCAGCUUUCGACGGUAUGGUAUUGGCUUACCGUGGCAGUGACGGUUAACGGGGGAUUAGGGUUCGAUUCCGGAGAGGGAGCCUGAGAAACGGCUACCACAUCUAAGGAAGGCAGCAGGCGCGCAAAUUACCCAAUUCUAACAGUUUGAGAGAGGUAGUAACAAGAAAUAACAAUACAAGGCAGUUAAAAUGCUUUGUAAUUGGAAUGAUAGAAAUUUAAACCCUUUUUAAAGUAUCAAUUGGAGGGCAAGUCUGGUGCCAGCAGCCGCGGUAAUUCCAGCUCCAAUAGCGUAUAUUAAAAUUGUUGCAGUUAAAAAGCUCGUAGUUGAAGUUCUGCUAAAAGUAACCGGUCUGCUUUUAAUAAAAGUGGUAUCUUGGUAUGUAUUUAGCAAUGAUGUCCUUUGAAGUGUUUUUUACUUUAUUGUAAUAAAGCAUAUUCAGGACUUUUACUUUG